AUUCACUGUUUCUAAUGCUUAUUUAUAUUCUACUCUUUGUAAUGACUCACUGAUGCUCUGUUUUACAAAUAUAUCACAUUUUGUUUUUAAUUGAUCCAUUGUCGCUUGAUGAGCAUUUAAAGUGCUCCCUAAUUUUGGCUCCUAUGAAUAAAAUUUGGAAAUCUGUGAAGAAGUUAACUUUUAUUUAUUUUUAAGAGAACGACUUACUGUGCCUGUGUGUGGGGCACGCACUUGCAGUGUCCGCCUGCCUCUGCCUCCUGAGUGCUGGGAUUAAAGGUGUGCCCCACCACUGCCUGGUUUAGCUUUAGAUUCUUAACUCUCCUUCUCCAGAGCCUCAAAUUUUAGGAUUAUAGACAUGUGCUGUCAUGUCCAGCUGUGGGCAUAUGAUAACACUCUUAACCUUUUUUUUAAAAAAAAAAUCUUAAAAACAUUUUUAUUGUAUAUGUGCCAUGGCACAUGUUUGGAGGUUAGAGGGCAAAUUUCAGGAGUUGGUUCUCUCCUAUAUCAUGGGUUCUGAGUUUUGAACUCAGAUCACAAGGCUUACGUUUCAAAUGCUCUUUUUAUUGGCUUAGCCAUCUUGCUUUGGGGGAUCCAUUCCAGGACCUUGUGCAUGUUGUCUCACUGAGCUGUGUUUUCGGCAUCUAUGUAAUCAUUAAUUCUUUAAGAAAAUUUUGUAGAGAAUGAACAAGUUCUCUUUCACAAUGAAAUAAUGUUCACAAUGAAUUUUAAUAUCAUUACUGAUAGGGAAGCUGUGAAAUGUUCAUAUUUAAAUACAUUGCUCAGAAAUGAGGGCAACAUGAAGAUGAGCUAUAGAAUUCUUUUUUUUUUUUUUUUUUUUGGUUUUUCGAGACAGGGUUUCUCUGUGGUUUUGGACCCUGUCCUGGAACUAUAGAAUUCUUUAAAGAUUAAAAUAUUUGAAGUAAUUUAUGAUGUUUAUGGGCUUGGAUGUUGACGUGCACGGUUAGAGCUUAUCCAGCCUAGUGUUCUUAGUUCUCAUUGCAUAGAACUUUUAAUCCCUGCACAUCUCUGAUCAUUAAGAACGUUUUGCUGUGGGUAUUGGCUCAGAAUCGAGCUGAAGCAAUAGAUGUUUCUCUUGAGCUACGCUUGGUAUAAGUGUGCUACAUGUUUCAAAUAAUGUAAUAAUAGUGCCAAGUAUGAUAAACAUAUCACAGAGGUAUUUAAUGUUAAUCAAAUGUCAUGCCCUACCCCCUGUCUGAUCGGCAGAAAUCAAUGUUUUUCUUUCCUUUUCCAAUUACCUGUAGUUUAUGUGUCCCUGUAAAUUUAAGAUUCAGAAAAAUUGAAACAAAAAUAGCUCCUUUAUGAGUCAUUGGGCAUGUUUUUCUAUAUUCUUUUCUGAGGUAGCAUUAUAAAGAUGUCACUUACAAAUCAAAGUAAGUUCAGAAUAUGGCAUUUCCUUUGUUACAGCAGUUUUAAAGUGGAAUCUUAUAGUUUCUGGGUCUUGGAUUUAGUUCAUUAACUAGUGCUUCUGUAAUAUAUAUAUAUAUAAUGUAUAUAUACCUAUAUGUUAUAUGCAUAUAUAUUAAGCUUCUCUAAAGGAACAGAUCUGAUAGACUAUAUAGAUACAUUCAUUACAUGUGUACGCCUUAGUUAGGAUUUUAUUGCUGUGGGGAGACACCAUGACCAUGGCAUUUUUUUUUUUUUUUUUUUUUGAGAUGAAGCUUCUCUGUGGAACAGUUUUAGCUAUACUGGAACUUGCUCUGUAAACCAGACUGGCCUCAAACUCAGAAAGAUCCGCCUGCCUCUGCCUCCUGAGUGCUGGGAUUAAAGAUGUGCACCACCAUACAUGGUGACCAUGGCAACUCUUAUAUAGGAAAACAUUUAAUUGAGGCUGAUUUACAGUUUUGGAGGUUUAAUCCACUAUCAUCAUGGUGAGAAGCAUGGCAGUUUGCAGGCAGACAUGGUGCUGGAGAAGGCGCUGAGAGUUCUACAUCUCGAUCCACAGGCAACAGAAGAAGACUAUGUGCCAUACUAGGUGUAGGUUGACCAUAUAAGACCUCAAAAUCAAUCCCCACAAUGACACACUCCAACUAGGCCACACCUCCUAAUAGUGCCACUCCCCAUGGGCCAAACACUCAAACAUGUGAGUCUAUUGGGGCUUUUCCUAUUUAAGCCACCACAUUGUGUGUGUAUAUACAUCUAUCUAUCUAUCUAUCUAUCUAUCUAUCUAUCUAUCUAUCUAUCUAUCUAUCUAUCUACAUCUAUAUUCUAUAUAUAUUUAAAAAGUGGAACUGGGUGGUGGUGGCACAUGCCUUUAAUCCCAGCACUCGGAGGCAGAGGCAGGUGGGUCUCUGUGAGUCCGAGGCCAGCCUGGUCUACAAGAGUUACUUCCAGGACAGACUCCAAAGCUACAGAGAAACCCUGUCUUGAAAAACCAAACACACACACACACACACACACACACUGUUGAAAUAAGAGCGGCGGGGCUGCGUCCCCAACACCCCGGCCGCUUGGCUAGCUCAUGCCCGAAAUAACAACACACAAACUGUAUUCAUUUAAAGAACUGCUUGGCCCAUGAACUCUAGCCCUUACAGGCUAAUUCUCGCACCUGGUCUAGCCCAUUUCUAAUGAUGUGUGUAAGCACCCCAAGGUGCGCUUACCGGAAAGAUUCUAGCCUAAGUCCAUCGUGGGUUGCAGCUGCCUGGGAGAGCUGAGCAUGGCGUCUCUGCUCCAGCAGAGCUGUCCGGUCUCUCCGGAAGCAGAGCAGAGUCUGACCUCACUUCCUCUUCCGCCCAGAAUUCUAUUCUGUUUACUCCUCCCAUCUAUGUUCCAAGCUGAGGCCAAGCAGUUGGUUUAUUAUAACUUAACCAAUGAAAUCAACAGAUUGAUAUAUGACACUCCCACAUCAACACACACAGAUGAUAAAUAUACAUUUUUUAAAAAGAGUCUCUCUUUUCGAUCAAGGUAUUCUGGAUCUCAUUGUAUACCCAACUAUGGUCUCAAACUUCUCAGUUGUUUAUUUGUAUGCUUUAAAAUAGUUUUUAACUAGAUGUUUGUUCCAUGUCUAUAAAUCAAGAACUUCUUCAUUCCUUCUAGUGGCUGCUUUUAAUUGAAUCGAAUUGAUUUAUCUUUGAACCAGGUUCCAGCUGUGUAACCCUAUUGACCUUUAUUUUGCAAUCCUCUGUCUCAGCCUUAUCGGUGCUGGAAUUAUAGACAUUUGCCACAAUGUCUGACCCCUUCCUUUUUUCAAUUUAAUAUGAUUGAGUAUUUUUUUAUAUUUAUUUAUUAUGUAUACAGUAUUCUGUCUGCGUGUAUUCCUGCCAGCCAGAAGAAGGCACCAGACCUCAUUACAGAUGGUUGUGAGCCACCAUGUGGUUGCUGGGAAUUGAACUCAGGACCUUUGGAAGAACAGGCAGGGGCUGGAGAGAUGGCUCAGAGGUUAAGAGCAUUGCCUGUCCACGAUUGAGUAUUUUUACUUAACACUGUCAUUUAAAAAGUUUUGACCACCCCCACUGUCAUGUUUUCUUUAAAUCUCUUUGUUGCUUUUAAAGUGGUAUGUUUAGUCCUAAUUUAGAAUAAAUUCUGACCUCUUUGUUGUUAUUAAAAUUUAAUUGUGUAAUGUUUUUGAAUUUUUACUCCAUAGUGACUAAAUUUAAAAGCUUAAUGGCAUUAGUCACUUGAAAAUUGUUUUUAUUAAAUUUUAUGUCUCAUUACUUCCCUGUGGAGAACUUCCGGCUUUUCAUGCUGACAGCUGUUUGAAAGGGUGCUUGUUUAAUUUCUUGGGUUAGACAUAACUUUGUUAGCAUUUAUGUUUCAUGAUUGAUUCUUGGUUUAGACAUAAUUUUGUUAGAAUUUAUGUUUCAUAAUUGCACUGAGCAGCAUUUAACUGAUGAUUUUGAGAACUGAAGAAUUUUUUGUAAAUGGGAACAGUGGUAUUACACUCUGUAAUCUCAGUACUCACAAAGAAGGCUGUGGCAGUAUAGUCAUGGGGCAGGGCGUUCAGGCCAGCUUGAGCCAUAUAGUGAGGUCUUGUGCCAACAAACAUUCAAGCUGGUGAGAUGGCUCAGCUGGUAAUGGUGCUUGCUCUGUAAGGCCAGCAACUAGAGCUUGAUUCCCAGAACCCAUGUAAGGUGGAAGGAGAAAACUGACUCCGCAGUGUUGUCCUCUGACUUCUACCUCCACAAUAUGUACACACGGUAAUACUGAAUAAAAAUUUAAAAAUACCUCACAUGUAAGUAUGAAUUUGUUGCUUUCUUUAAAUAGAAAGCUAGACUUUAUCUUAGUUUAGUGUGCCAGUGGUGCUUGUAAUUUCAAAUGUCCCAGAGAUUGGCUGGUGUGCAGGGAAAAUAAAGUGAUAGUCAGUCACUCUGUGUUGAGGUUACUUCAGUAUGGGCAACACAAAGACAACAUUUGGACUAGGUGGGGUUUUUUUUUUUUUUUUGGAGAGUUUCCUUCCCCCCCUUUUAAGGAUCUAACUAUGUAGUCCUGGGUAGGCUAGAACUGUCUGUAUAUAACUUGCUAUAUAUAUGAUAGAUAGAUAGACAGACAGAUGACAGACAGACAGACUGACCAGGCUAGCCUCAAAGUCAGUGAUCCCCCUGCUUCUGACUCUCCAGAGCUCUGGUAAAGGCGUGUGUUGCCACACUCAGCCCAGAUGAGAUCUUUUUAUAGAAAGUUCUUUUGUUUAUAUGUCUUCAGACAAGUACUGUCACUGGAGAUGGAUAUAAAUUGUAAACUUGUUAUGUUAUGUUACUGUUAUCCAAUUCAAUAAUUUAAAAAAUAACCUAUUUUAAAAAAUAUGUGUAUGACUUUUUGUAAGUAGUGUGUAUGCUGGUAGAAAGAAACAGAGGUAAUCUUUUCCUUUUUUCCCCUAGGGUAACUCUUUUUAUAGUUGCUGAUGCAUGGAAGGAUGCUCUUUUCCUGAUAGAAGAUGAAAAUCUUGGAGGAUGACCAUGGAGAAGGGGAUGAGUUCUGGAGAAGGAUUGCCUUCCAGAGCACCUCAGGCAUCUGCUGCUAAAGUCACAGUCAAGGAAUCGGAAACAAGGCAGCCUUGUGAGGAGAAACGAGGGGGCUUUGUGCUGGUGCAUGCAGGUGCAGGUUAUCAUUCAGAAUCCAAAGCCAAGGAAUAUAAACAUGUAUGCAAACGAGCUUGUCAGAAGGCAAUUGAGAAGCUGCAGGCUGGUGCUCUUGCGACAGAUGCAGUGACUGCAGCUCUGGUGGAGCUUGAGGAUUCUCCGUUUACAAAUGCAGGAAUGGGAUCUAAUCUGAAUCUCCUAGGAGAAAUCGAGUGUGACGCCAGCAUAAUGGAUGGGAAAUCCUUGAAUUUCGGAGCAGUUGGAGCACUGAGUGGAAUCAAGAAUCCAGUCUCAGUUGCAAACAGACUCUUGUGUGAAGGGCAGAAGGGCAAGCUCUCUGCAGGCAGGAUUCCUCCCUGCUUUUUAGUUGGAGAAGGAGCCUACAGAUGGGCAGUGGAUCAUGGGAUACCCUCUUGCCCUCCUAGCAUCAUGACCACAAGAUUCAGCUUAGCUGCAUUCAAAAGGAACAAGAGAAAAUUAGAACUGGCAGAAAGGGUGGAAACAGACUUCAUCCAGCUAAAGAAAAGAAGACAAUCAAGUGCAAAGGAAAAUGACUCAGGCACCUUGGACACAGUGGGUGCUGUGGUGGUCGAUCAUGAAGGGAAUGUUGCUGCUGCUGUCUCCAGUGGAGGCUUGGCCUUGAAACAUCCAGGGAGAGUUGGGCAGGCUGCUCUUUAUGGAUGUGGCUGCUGGGCUGAGAAUACUGGAGCUCAUAACCCCUACUCCACAGCUGAUGUGGAGAGCAUCUUGUGCGCACCAUACUGGCUAGAGAAUGUUCACAUGCUUUACAAGCUGAAGAUGCUCACCAAGCUCUGUUGGAGACUAUGCAAAACAAGUUCAUCAGUUCACCUUUCCUUGCCAGUGAGGAUGGCGUGCUCGGUGGAGUGAUCGUUCUCCGGUCAUGCAGAUGUUCUUCAGAGUCUGACUCCUCCCCAAAUAAGCAGACGCUUCUAGUGGAAUUUCUGUGGAGCCACACUACAGAGAGCAUGUGCGUAGGAUAUAUGUCAGCCCAGGAUGGAAAAGCCAAG